rnacentral:tRNA from 1 species
GAUUUUUUAACUAUAUAAGUAUAUAUUUUGAAAAUAUAAAAAAGAAUUUUUUCUAAAAAUCU